rnacentral:rRNA from 1 species
CCUUUGCCGGAGGUACCGAACUCCUGAAUUUACAGGGCCUCUCUGAGUCUUCUGUACUGAAUAAGUCAAAACUUUCAACAACGGAUCUCUUGGUUCUGGCAUCGAUGAAGAACGCAGGGAAAUGCGAUAAGUAAUGUGAAUUGCAGAAUUCAGUGAAUCAUCGAAUCUUUGAACGCACAUUGCGCCCGCCAGUAUUCUGGCGGGCAUGCCUGUCCGAGCGUCAUUUCAACCAUCAAGCCCCCGGCUUGUGUUGGGGACCUGCUGGCACACCCGCAGGCCCUGAAAACCAGUGGCGGGCUCGCUGUCCACACCGAGCGUAGUAGCAUAUCUUUGUCUCGCUCAGGGCGUGCGGCGGGUUCCGGCCGUGAGGAACCCACCUUCUCGAAUGGUAUUCUCUCUUAAGGUUAACCUCGGAUCAGGUAGGAAGACCCGCGACUAGUU